AUUGAACGCUGGCGGCAGGCCUAACACAUGCAAGUAGAGCGGAGCGGCGGACGGGUGAGUAAUGCCUAGGAAUCUGCCUGGUAGUGGGGGAUAACAUCCGGAAACGGGCGCUAAUACCGCAUACUAUCAGAUGAGCCUCGGGCGGCUUAGCUAGUUGGUGGGGUAAAGGCCUACAAAGGGGACGAGCCGUAACUGGUCUGAGAGGAUGAUCAGUAAGACUGGAACUGAUACACGGUCCAGACUCCUACGGGAGGCAGCAGUGGGGAAUAUUGGACAAUGGGCGAAAGCCGGAUACAGCCAUGCCGCGUGUGUGAAGAAGGUCUUCGGAUUGUAAAGCACUUUAAGUUGGGAGGCGUUACCAACAGAAUAAGCACCGGCUAACUUCGUGCCAGCAGCCGCGGUAAUUC
rnacentral:rRNA from 1 species